rnacentral:rRNA from 1 species
UACGGAGGGUGCAAGCGUUAUCCGGAUUCACUGGGUUUAAAGGGUGCGUAGGUGGGCAGGUAAGUCAGUGGUGAAAUCUCCGGGCUCAACCCCGGAAACUGCCAUUGAUACUAUCAGUCUUGAAUAUCGUGGAGGUAAGCGGAAUAUGUCAUGUAGCGGUGAAAUGCUUAGAUAUGACAUAGAACACCAAUUGCGAAGGCAGCUUACUACCCGAAUAUUGACACUGAGGCACGAAAGCGUGGGGAUCAAACAGG